GUAGCCAACGAGGGAACAAAAUAGUAAACAAAAUAGUAUAAUAUGUACAGGUUGACGGUACUAAUCGAUGAGAACCUUUGGAAGAAGACGUUAAAGCUGAGGAUGGAACCUAAUUAAUCAUGUUAUUGUGGAAAACACAACACGUAAAUAGUAUGACUAACAUUAACCAAUAUGUGUUUAUGGAGUGACUAAAAUAUUCU
rnacentral:lncRNA from 1 species